ACCUCCUUGUAUAAGGACUGUGCUAAAAUUGCAGCAACUAGGGCCGUUUCUUAGUUUUUGUAAUAAUGCUAGCAGAGUACACACAAGAAGGGGAACUGCACCAGAUUGUAAAGACUGGGGUGGACCUCUUUCUUGAAGUCCAGUGUCCUUUGUCUUAAGAUUUGGUGCAGUGUGU
rnacentral:snoRNA from 1 species